rnacentral:rRNA from 1 species
AUUGAACGCUGGCGGCAGGCCUAACACAUGCAAGUCGAACGAGUGGCGGACGGGUGAGUAAUGUCUGGGAAACUGCCCGAUGGAGGGGGAUAACUACUGGAAACGGUAGCUAAUACCGCAUACUAUCGGAUGUGCCCAUAUGGGAUUAGCUAGUAGGUGGGGUAACGGCGCACCUAGGCGACGAUCCCUAGCUGGUCUGAGAGGAUGAUCAGCCACACUGGAACUGAGACACGGUCCAGACUCCUACGGGAGGCAGCAGUGGGGAAUAUUGCACAAUGGGCGCAAGCCUGAUACAGCCAUGCCGCGUGUAUGAAGAAGGCCUUCGGGUUGUAAAGUACUUUCAGCGGGGAGGCGUUACCCGCAGAAGAAGCACCGGCUAACUCCGUGCCAGCAGCCGCGGUAAUAC